UACAGAGGAUGCAAGCGUUAUCCGGAAUUAUUGGGCGUAAAGCGCGCGCAGGCGGUCCUUUAAGUCUGAUGUGAAAGCCCUCGGCUCAACCGAGGAGGGUCAUUGGAAACUGGAGGACUUGAGUGCAGAAGAGGAAAGUGGAAUUCCAAGUGUAGCGGUGAAAUGCGUAGAGAUUUGGAGGAACACCAGUGGCGAAGGCGACUUUCUGGUCUGUAACUGACGCUGAGGCGCGAAAGCGUGGGGAGCAAACAGG
rnacentral:rRNA from 1 species